AUCACCAGUGAUGAGUUGAAUACUGGCCUAGUCUGUUUAAUGAGUGAAAGGUAUUGUCUGAGUUAUG
ensembl:snoRNA SNORD31 Small nucleolar RNA SNORD31